rnacentral:lncRNA from 1 species
AGAGCCCCACCGCCAGUGAGUUUCAGUUUUCUACGUUUUUUCGGGCUACCGAGGGUCCUAAGUGUGUUUUCUCACAGGAACCGAUGCAAGUUAGCCUGAAUUCAGCCGAAAACGCCCAAAAACAGCCAACCUAAGGCGGAUCACCGCCGUGCUGGAAUUCCAAAAUUGACUGAGUAGGCUCUAGGUCUAAUUUUUUGGUUAUUUGGGACAUGUGUAGGUACUGUAAGCGUGUUUUAGUUCCCGAAAAAAAAUUCAGAGAACUUAGGAACCGCCCGUAGGCGCAAUGACAAUCUAGUUUUCGGUGUCAAAUCAAGUAAGGACCCCUCAUAUUAUUUCAUGUCAUAGAUG